AAUAAUACUAGGCUCUGUUUAUCUCUUUCUUUGUACUCUCAUUUUAGAUCCAUGACAUGGUAAACUUUGAUGUAUAUUAGCGUACGGAUUGAUUACUUGGCUGCACCUAUUUUAUUUUCUCUAUUUUCUUACUAAUGUUUGAGAGGCAGAUGUCCCUUUUCUAAUGGUUUGUCGUUUUAUUUUCUUUGUUUCGCAUGUACAACCGGAGCCGAAGAGUUUCACUUUGAGACUCAAUGACACCGCUUACGGAUUCGUACACCCUUCAUUGUCUACCCUCUUACUUUGCUUGAGCGGAAAAUUUGCAGAAUAUCGCUACCCCUUAUGAAAGCCAAAAAUGGCUUUUAUCAUUUUAUAUCCCUUUGACUUGUUCAUUAGUGUGUUUAAAAUUCCCUAUGUGACUAACCUUUUAUUUCUAUUUUGUGUUGUUGGCUGUUAAACCUGAGUUACUACUAUAUAAUUCAUAGCCAAUGCUAAACAAAUAUUU